UUUUAAGAGUAUCGUUACCGUCGGAAGGAUUUCCAGAAACGCCUUAAGAACGAGGCGUGGCGUUACAUGAUUGGCUGGUAGGUAAAUAUAAAAUCGAUUUUUUUUUCUUCUCAUUUUUUUUUCUCCUUCCUCCCGACUCUCUCUCUCCCUUCUCUCUCGUUUCUGAAGGAGACAAAAACGGCGAUUGUUGAUGAAAUCGGAGAAAUCGGAUUCUCGUCGAAUCCUAUGAUUUUUCUCACUUAGAUCUUAUGGUUGGUUGUUUACCCGGAGGCGAUGGCAUCUAGAUCGGCGAAAUUGUUAGAUGCGACGGUUCGUUUGUCACGACAAACGACGGUGGAGGUUGCUAUAUGGUGGGACAAUGACGGCGGCUGUUUCUGGUGGUGCCCUGAAGCUAACGGCAAGGUCCAAAUCACAACUAAUCGAAGGGAGAAGGUUUUCAUCAACUGGAUGUAGCGGUUCAAUGGUGACGUGAAGGGAAACAUGAAGUGGACACAACGGUUGUGUUUUCUCACUUGAAAAGGUUUUGCGACUUGUUGUUCUUGUAACUCGUUGUGACUUGUUGUCCUUUGUAACCCAUCAUCACGAGUUGUGACUUGUUGUCUUUUGUAACCCGUGAAUGGGUUUAGGUUUGGUUGUGUCUUUCGGAAGUCCUAUAUAUGACAAUGUUUUGUUCAACCUCAUUUGCUAUAUGUUCUUCUCAUUUGUA